rnacentral:rRNA from 1 species
GCUCCCGCUAUUGGAUGAGCCUAUGUCGGAUUAGCUAGUUGGUGAGGUAAUGGCUCACCAAGGCAACGAUCCGUAGCUGGUCUGAGAGGAUGAUCAGCCACAUCGGGACUGAGACACGGCCCGAACUCCUACGGGAGGCAGCAGUGGGGAAUAUUGGACAAUGGGGGAAACCCUGAUCCAGCCAUGCCGCGUGUGUGAAGAAGGCCCUCGGGUUGUAAAGCACUUUCAGCGAGGAAGAACGCCUAACGGUUAAUACCCGCUAGGAAAGACAUCACUCGCAGAAGAAGCACCGGCUAACUCCGUGCCAGCAGCCGCGGUAAUACGGAGGGUGCAAGCGUUAAUCGGAAUUACUGGGCGUAAAGCGCGCGUAGGUGGAUUGAUAAGCCGGUUGUGAAAGCCCCGGGCUCAACCUGGGAACGGCAUCCGGAACUGUCAAGCUAGAGUGCAGGAGAGGAAGGUAGAAUUCCCGGUGUAGCGGUGAAAUGCGUAGAGAUCGGGAGGAAUACCAGUGGCGAAGGCGGCCUUCUGGACAGACACUGACACUGAGGUGCGAAAGCGUGGGUAGCAAACAGGAUUAGAUACCCUGGUAGUCCACGCCGUAAACGAUGUCGACCAGCCGUUGGGUGCCUAGCGCACUUUGUGGCGAAGUUAACGCGAUAAGUCGACCGCCUGGGGAGUACGGCCGCAAGGUUAAAACUCAAAUGAAUUGACGGGGGCCCGCACAAGCGGCGGAGCAUGUGGUUUAAUUCGAUGCAACGCGAAGAACCUUACCUACUCUUGACAUCCUGCGAAUUUGGUAGAGAUACCUUAGUGCCUUCGGGAACGCAGAGACAGGUGCUGCAUGGCUGUCGUCAGCUCGUGUUGUGAAAUGUUGGGUUAAGUCCCGUAACGAGCGCAACCCUUGUCCUUAUUUGCCAGCGCGUAAUGGCGGGAACUCUAAGGAGACUGCCGGUGACAAACCGGAGGAAGGUGGGGACGACGUCAAGUCAUCAUGGCCCUUACGAGUAGGGCUACACACGUGCUACAAUGGUCGGUACAAAGGGUUGCCAACUCGCGAGAGUGAGCUAAUCCCGAAAAGCCGAUCUCAGUCCGGAUCGGAGUCUGCAACUCGACUCCGUGAAGUCGGAAUCGCUAGUAAUCGUGGAUCAGAAUGCCACGGUGAAUACGUUCCCGGGCCUUGUACACACCGCCCGUCACACCAUG